AAAAAAUUGCGUUUGUUUACUCGGAUUGUUCUGUGAAUACCGGCUAAUAAUUUUUAAUUCAUUUAUGAAUGAUUUUGAAAGGGAAGUAGUUAUAAUCCAAGGGGAUUGCCAGUUCUCACGUCUAAAAUCUCUGGAACUGGAAAUCUGUCAACUUGCAUCAACAUAACCGCAGUAGGUAUCGUGUUUGACACGAGUACCAUAGGCGUAGAAAGAGCGACGUCUGGGUUUGGAGUUGUUAUUGCAAUUCCAUGCUUCAUUUACUUUCAUGUAUUUUUAUCAAUUUUACGGCGUGGAAAAGUUGAAAAAG